UAAACUGUCCGAGAAUCAAACCAAGCCAGAGAGAGAGAGAGCACAGCCAGGAGAUGUCAUGUCAACAGCAAGUUCUCUCCUUGUGCAUUUCAUUUAUGGGAGUCAUUCAAGCUCCCUUUUACACACGACCUGUUUGGGUUGAGCUUG
rnacentral:miRNA from 1 species